GUCGAACGGUAACAGGUCUUCGGACGCUGACGAGUGGCGAACGGGUGAGUAAUACAUCGGAACGUGCCCAGUCGUGGGGGAUAACUACUCGAAAGAGUAGCUAAUACCGCAUACGAUCUGAGGAUGAAAGCGGGGGACCUUCGGGCCUCGCGCGAUUGGAGCGGCCGAUGGCAGAUUAGGUAGUUGGUGGGAUAAAAGCUUACCAAGCCGACGAUCUGUAGCUGGUCUGAGAGGACGACCAGCCACACUGGGACUGAGACACGGCCCAGACUCCUACGGGAGGCAGCAGUGGGGAAUUUUGGACAAUGGGCGAAAGCCUGAUCCAGCAAUGCCGCGUGCAGGAUGAAGGCCUUCGGGUUGUAAACUGCUUUUGUACGGAACGAAAAAGCUUCUCCUAAUACGAGAGGCCCAUGACGGUACCGUAAGAAUAAGCACCGGCUAACUACGUGCCAGCAGCCGCGGUAAUACGUAGGGUGCGAGCGUUAAUCGGAAUUACUGGGCGUAAAGCGUGCGCAGGCGGUUAUGUAAGACAGAUGUGAAAUCCCCGGGCUCAACCUGGGAACUGCAUUUGUGACUUGCAUGGCUAGAGUACGGUAGAGGGGGAUGGAAUUCCGCGUGUAGCAGUGAAAUGCGUAGAUAUGCGGAGGACACCGAUGGCGAAGGCAA
rnacentral:rRNA from 1 species